UGCCUCAUCGACCGGAAGGGAUUCCUUCCAGUUGAUGAGGAUGCUACACCUCAUCAAUUGGAAGGAAUUCCUUCCGGUUGACAAAGUU
rnacentral:miRNA from 1 species